GACGAACGCUGGCGGCGUGCCUAAUACAUGCAAGUAGAACGCUGAAGGAGGAGCUUGCUUCUCUGGAUGAGUUGCGAACGGGUGAGUAACGCGUAGGUAACCUGCCUGGUAGCGGGGGAUAACUAUUGGAAACGAUAGCUAAUACCGCAUAAGAGUAGAUGUUGCAUGACAUUUGCUUAAAAGGUGCAAUUGCAUCACUACCAGAUGGACCUGCGUUGUAUUAGCUAGUUGGUGGGGUAACGGCUUACCAAGGCGACGAUACAUAGCCGACCUGAGAGGGUGAUCGGCCACACUGGGACUGAGACACGGCCCAGACUCCUACGGGAGGCAGCAGUAGGGAAUCUUCGGCAAUGGACGGAAGUCUGACCGAGCAACGCCGCGGGAGUGAAGAAGGUUGUCGGAUCGUAAAGCUCGGUUGUAAGAGAAGAACGAGUGUGAGAGUGGAAAGUUCACACUGUGACGGUAUCUUACCAGAAAGGGACGGCUAACUACGUG
rnacentral:rRNA from 1 species